GUACUUGACUAUUGUAAGUCGCUUUGGACAAAAGCGUCUGCCAAAUGUCAUGUA
rfam:Astyanax mexicanus chromosome 20, whole genome shotgun sequence.